rnacentral:rRNA from 1 species
CACAUGCAGUCGAACGAGAAUCUGUGGAAAGAGGAUUCGUCCAAUUGAAGCAGAGGACAGUGGCGGACGGGUGAGUAACGCGUGAGGAACCUGCCUUUCAGAGGGGGACAACAGUUGGAAACGACUGCUAAUACCGCAUAACAUAUAGAUGUCGCAUGGCAUUUAUAUCAAAGAUUUAUCGCUGAAAGAUGGCCUCGCGUCUGAUUAGCUAGUUGGUGAGGUAACGGCCCACCAAGGCGACGAUCAGUAGCCGGACUGAGAGGUUGAACGGCCACAUUGGGAUUGAGAUACGGCCCAGACUCCUACGGGAGGCAGCAGUGGGGAAUAUUGGGCAAUGGGCGCAAGCCUGACCCAGCAACGCCGCGUGAAGGAAGAAGGCUUUCGGGUUGUAAACUUCUUUUGUCAGGGACGAGUAGAAGACGGUACCUGACGAAUAAGCCACGGCUAACUACGUGCCAGCAGCCGCGGUAAUACGUAGGUGGCAAGCGUUGUCCGGAUUUACUGGGUGUAAAGGGCGUGUAGCCGGGAGGGCAAGUCAGAUGUGAAAUCCACGGGCUCAACUCGUGAACUGCAUUUGAAACUACUCUUCUUGAGUAUCGGAGAGGCAAUCGGAAUUCCUAGUGUAGCGGUGAAAUGCGUAGAUAUUAGGAGGAACACCAGUGGCGAAGGCGGAUUGCUGG